CUGCGUCUUCUCUUUGGCGCCAAACAAAGUCUGUAUCUCUUCCACAACCAUGGAUCUUCAGGAAAAUAAUAGCAGCAUUAGCAAUAUCAAGUUAGUGGAACAAUAGAGUUAUUUGAAAUCAAUCAUGAACAAAAAAGGAAACGAUGGAUCAACUAGAAAGAUAGAGCUUCUUGUUUGGAAUGGACGGAUGGAUGAUGCAUUUACUUAAGCAAUGCUCUAAGCCAUACUUCUGCAGAUGUGUGUUACCUGUAUUGUUUAUAAACAUUCUGUUUGUGUAAUUUUGGUCUCAUAGCUACAAGUAUUAAAAAAUAAAAUGAUGCUAUGAGCCAUACUUCUGCAAAUGUGUGUGUGCUGGUUGAUUAUUAUAAUUAUAUUGACAAUA